AUGGCUGUCGUCAGCUCGUGUCGUGAGAUGUUGGGUUAAGUCCCGCAACGAGCGCAACCCUUGUCCUAUGUUGCCAGCGCGUAAUGGCGGGGACUCGUAGGAGACUGCCGGGGUCAACUCGGAGGAAGGUGGGGAUGACGUCAAGUCAUCAUGCCCCUUACGUCCAGGGCUGCACACAUGCUACAAUGGCCGGUACAACGGGCUGCUAUCCCGCGAGGGGGAGCCAAUCCCAAAAGCCGGUCUCAGUUCGGAUUGGAGUCUGCAACUCGACUCCAUGAAGUCGGAGUCGCUAGUAAUCCCGGAUCAGCAACGCCGGGGUGAAUACGUUCCCGGGCCUUGUACACACCGCCCGUCACACCACGAAAGUCGGUAACACCCGAAGCCGGUGGCCCAACCCUUUUGGGAGGGAGCUGUCGAAGGUGGGAUCGGUGAUUGGGGUGAAGUCGUAACAAGGUGGCCGUACCGGAAGGUGCGGCUGGAUCACCUCCUUUCUAAGGAGUCUUUCCUGACCAUUCCGGUCAGGGACUUCCUAGUCGAUCACUGGCUAUUCGGCUUUCUUUCGUUUUCCGGCGGCUGCCGGCUGGCCGUGUCCUUUCGGGGAUGCGCCUGGCUAGCCCCGUAUUCCGGGCACGAGAGACUGCUGGACCUCACUAUUCCGUUUUGAGGGAGUGGCAUAUUCACGUCACUUCCGUCGCGAUGCCGACUGUCCCAUUUGGCGACGGUCGGCCGCUCGCGUAUCCCGUACGGCCGACCCCCCAAGCUCGUUAUUAGCUCUCGGGGCGCCGCGCGUCCCUUGAGAAUUCCAUAGCGAGCACGAGCAUCUUUGUUCUCCAAGCUACAAAGAGCCAACGGUGGAUGCCUAGGCGCCUGAAGCCGAAGAAGGACGUGGGAGGCUGCGAAAAGCCACGGGGAGCUGCCUACCAAGCUUCGAUCCGUGGAUGUCCGAAUGGGGAAACCCGG
rnacentral:sRNA from 1 species